AUGGUGGUAACGGGUAACGGGGAAUUAGGGUUCGAUUCCGGAGAGGGAGCCUGAGAAACGGCUACCACAUCCAAGGAAGGCAGCAGGCGCGCAAAUUACCCAAUCCCGACACGGGGAGGUAGUGACAAUAAAUAACAAUACGGGGCUCUUUCGGGUCUCGUAAUUGGAAUGAGUACAAUUUAAAUCCCUUAACGAGGAACAAUUGGAGGGCAAGUCUGGUGCCAGCAGCCGCGGUAAUUCCAGCUCCAAUAGCGUAUAUUAAAGUUGUUGCAGUUAAAAAGCUCGUAGUUGAAUUUCGGGAUUGGCGCAUCGGUCGUGCCUCACGGGGUAUGAACUGGUGCAGUCAAUUUCUCACCUUCUGGAGAACCGCGAUGUCCUUAAUUGGAUGCCGCGGGGAACCAGGACCUUUACUUUGAAAAAAUUAGAGUGUUUAAAGCAGGCAUUUUUGCUUGAAUACAUUAGCAUGGAAUAAUAAGAUAGGACAUCCGAUUCUAUUUUGUUGGUUUCUAGGAUCGAUGUAAUGAUUAAUAGGGAUAGUUGGGGGCAUUAGUAUUCAACUGUCAGAGGUGAAAUUCUUGGAUUUAUUGAAGACUAACUACUGCGAAAGCAUUUGCCAAGGAUGUUUUCAUUAAUCAAGAACGAAAGUUAGGGGAUCGAAGACGAUCAGAUACCGUCGUAGUCUUAACCAUAAACUAUGCCGA
rnacentral:rRNA from 1 species